rnacentral:rRNA from 1 species
UCUCUUCGGGGAUGAUUAAACCGGCGCACGGGUGAGUAACACGUGAGUGACCUGCCUUUUAGACUGGAACAACUUACCGAAAGGUGAGCUAAUGCCGGAUGAGUUAUAUAAGUGCAUGUUUAUAUAGGAAAAGUUGGGGAGACCUGACGCUGAAAGAUGGACUCGCGUCCCAUUAGCUAGUUGGUAGGGUAAUGGCCUACCAAGGCGACGAUGGGUAGCCGGCCUGAGAGGGUGGCCGGCCACACUGGGACUGAGACACGGCCCAGACUCCUACGGGAGGCAGCAGUGGGGAAUUUUGCGCAAUGCUCGUAAGAGUGACGCAGCGACGCCGCGUGAAUGACGAAGGCCUUCGGGUCGUAAAGUUCUUUCGACAGGGAAGAAAAUGCCUAUAAGUAACUGUGUAUGUAUUGACGGUACCUGUAUAAGCAGCCCCGGCUAACUCCGUGCCAGCAGCCGCGGUAAUACGGAGGGGGCGAGCGUUGUUCGGAGUGACUGGGCGUAAAGAGCACGUAGGCGGUGUUGUAAGUCAUUAGUCAAAGACUAGAGCUCAACUUUAGUAAGGCUAGUGAUACUAUAAUACUAGAGUAUCAGAGAGGAUUGCAGAAUUCCUGGUGUAGCGGUGAAAUGCGUAGAUAUCAGGAGGAAUACCGUUAGCGAAGGCGGCAAUCUGGCUGGAAACUGACGCUGAGGUGCGAAAGCGUGGGUAGCAAACAGGAUUAGAUACCCCUGGUAGUCCACGCUGUAAACGAUGGAUGCUAGGUGUUGGGCUUUUAAGUUCAGUGCC